AUUCUUUGUGAUGGUCAGCAAGUCAUCUCUCACUGCAUGAAUUCUUUUUCUAAAAAAGAUCUAAAAAAGCUUUUUCUAAAAAAGCUAUUCUUCUACCUCAUCUUAUCCAUAGAGACACUAUUCCUAUAAAAAUUUCUGACUGUAUGUUGGACACAGACCAGUGUUAAAGGAGGCAUCUUCCCAGGCUGGCAUGAGAACCAGAGCUGUGGCAUCAGAUGGUAAUGGCUCACCUACUGUUGCUGAGAUGCAGGGCCUUCAGCUGCUCCUCAAAACAAAGCUAAUCCUUUCCCAAGAACUCAGUAUAUAGAAGUUAUAGAAGCAAGUUGGAGUUUUGUCUGCAAAUAUAGAAGGUGGUGUUUUGUUGAAAUAAACAAGAACUUUGCCACUGGCUUCUCUGGGGCUGUGUCUUGACUGCAGUGUCUCAUUGACAACAGCAAGUAUUGGGACAAUUUGCACAAAAUGCUCAGCACCCUGCAUGAUCUUUCCUACAGAAAAUGACUGCUUUUUACCUCAGGAGGUGUAGUUCCUUAUCCUGACAUGAGUGGCACCUUUCUGAGAAGUGCUUGCCACUACUGUCCUGAUUUUAAGGUACAAACAUGCAACACCUGGACCAGACCUAACUACUGGGAGCUGGCUCAGACUGUAUGGCAGGUUUGAAAAUAAAGCCUCUUAUCUAAA